AACGAACGCUGGCGGCAUGCCUAACACAUGCAAGUCGAACGAGACCUUCGGGUAUAGUGGCGCACGGGUGCGUAACGCGUGGGAACCUGCCCUUAGGUUCGGACUAACUCCCCGAAAGGGGUGCUAAUACCGGAUAAUGUCUUCGGACCAAAGAUUUAUCGCCUUUGGCUGGGCCCGCGUUGGAUUAGCUAGUUGGUAGGGUAAAAGCCUACCAAGGCGACGAUCCAUAGCUGGUCUGAGAGGAUGAUCAGCCACACUGGGACUGAGACACGGCGCAGACUCCUACGGGAGGCAGCAGUGGGGAAUAUUAGACAAUGGGCGAAAGCCUGAUCCAGCAAUGCCGCGUGAGUGAUGAAGGCCUUAGGGUUGUAAAGCUCUUUUACCCGGGAUGAUAAUGACAGUACCGGGAGAAUAAGCUCCGGCUAACUCCGUG
rnacentral:rRNA from 1 species